ACGUCAAUGUUUUAGUAAUUACCCUUUUAAUAGUACUUAAUUGGGAGACGACAUCCAAAUUGAAUACACAUACUUAGGCGGGGCACGUGCCCAAAGUGCGUACAUUUGGGGGUACAUUGUCCCUGUAUAUACAUUUGUACUGUACAUAUAUCCGUACGAUGGGGUCUGCGUGUGAUAGCAGCGGCUAAAAAUAAUCUAUACGCAUCAGAGGGGCCCAGCAUUGACGUUAGAGAUUGGAUUUGGAUUGGAUUGUAUUGGCACACGUACUGGCUGCAGUCCCUUCAAGGGCAGCGUUGAUAAAGGGUCCAUCACAGUGGUGCAAGGACGAUGAAACAUUCUCCAAACUCAAGGAACUGUUUUCUCAUGCGCGUUAUCCGGAUAAAAACAAGAUUGAGAGAGCGGAAAGACGGCGAUGUCAAGGCUGCGUCACACAUCGGAAAUAGACAUCAGCUACGAUUUUGGCGGGCAGAAAUAUGCUGUUUGCCGUUUCAGUUACCACAAUUACUCCAGCAGGCUGAUCAAAUAUUGAUCGACUUGAGGACCCCCACCAUGUGAGUCCACUACGUCACUGCUGACGGCCACAAAGGGGGGAGGGGGGUGGUGUGAUGUCUUUGCGAUAAGAAUUUCGGCUACAAUGCCGCGAAUUUGUUGCCUCAGCCGGGAACUUUCCUUUGCCAUCGAUAACAAGAUAACAAAUAAAAUGAUUUAAUUUAUACUUAUGAAUCCAAAACUCCCACGGCGUCGCAUUGCAGUAACUGGCUUUCCAGUUACUC